CCCUGGAGGUGGUGGGAAAAAUCCUCCUCCAACUUGUUCUCUUAAGUGAUGACAGGACGUCUCCCCCACAUCCAAAACCUCCACAGCUAUGGGAAGCUACAACUGGCACAGCUGCUUGAAAACUUCUCCGUCAUUUUUGGACGAUUUGUUCUUAUCGGGAUUUCACGUUUCGCUGGGAAGACAGCAGCAGCCAAAGACUGACUCCGACAGCCUCCUCAUCCAGCAGCACCCCGAAGAGCGUGAGAUCUCACCCAGUGUGAGAAAUCCCUGCAGGUCCAUCAGUUGACUUCGUCAUGCAUAAUUUGCAGAAUUCCAAAGCCUCCCUCUUCCAGCUGUUCCUACGCGGGCGACGGCUCCUCCAGUUCACGUUACGGCUCCGAUCUCCAGGGUCAAAGUUGAAAUCUGCACCUGUGCACCAAGACUAAACAACUGUACCUGACCUGAAUGAAAAAAUAAAUACCUGAAAACGCACAUAAACGGACACGCCGCUUGCGGCGCAGAUGUGAAUGAGAGGAUUGCCUUCAUUU